GACAGCUGGGAGGCGCACACCCUGUCCCCCCAAAGUCUCCGGGCUGAGCUAGCCUCACUCUGGCCGCAGGAGGUCAAUCACUACAAGGGGAAGAACUACCCCAUCAUGAAUCUGCAUGAGCGGACCCUGAGCGUGCUGGCCUGCCGGUACGUGUCAGAAGUGGUGAUUGGGGCCCCGUACGCGGUCACAGCAGAGCUCCUGAGUCACUUCAAGGUGAGGCUUCACAUGGGCUCACCUUGUUUCCUCUGUUCACCUCUGAUCCUGCAUGGGCUGGGAACGCAGGCUGGCUGUGGGCUCCUAGGCGGGGCCCAGGAGGGGCCUGGGCUGAGGAAACGGCAGGGUCAGCUCUCCCAACCCCCGGGGC
rnacentral:sRNA from 1 species